rnacentral:tRNA from 1 species
GGAGAGAUGGCAGAGUGGUCGAUUGCGGCAGUCUUGAAAACUGUUGAGGUGAAUAGCCUCCCGGGGUUCGAAUCCCUGUCUCUCCG